rnacentral:sRNA from 1 species
UGUCAGGUUCAGUGUGGGCUCCCUCAGGCGAUGUGUUGCCAGAUCGAUACUGCAUCCACGAUCGCGUGCACCGCGCCAGCAGAUGGUACAUACAUAUAAUAUUUAGCUACCUGCACACUCUACGACGUACGACCUCUAUUCGCCGAGACCCUCUCUGGCCACAAGCUGAUAUGCCUCGAUCUCCUCCUCUUAGCAGCAGGUUGCCCCCUUCGGAUGCCAGAAAUACCUCUGGCGUGACCGUGGCCACCAUCGCUUACCUGGAGGGUGACGCAUCCUUCUAAUCCAGGAACCUGACCGGUUGACAACGCGAACUCUCGGCUCCUGCGCCCCUGAUUCCAAUCGCGUGAGGCUGUGUCAUUUGGCCUGGGCGACAUUUGGGUCCAGGCACUGCCAUGGCAAUCUGCCUUGCGUCCCACGCUGCUUUCUCCGCCUUUCCAGUCCGCUCUCCAUCGGCACCUCCUCCCCAUCCUCUCGGGAGGUUCAAGGGAUGUCUUCUUGGCUCAACUGACGAAACCACUGGCUGCUACUGACAUGCUACUGGCCAUAGCCAUGAUGCCACUGCUGUGUCGCUAAGUCGACAAUGUGGUGUCCCGUCCGUUGCAGCAUGGACAAGUGCCAUCGAAUCAAACGCUGGGCUUAGAGACGCAGGACUAAUGUACCCUUGGAUUUGCCUCGAGCCGAGUCGUACCACCACAGUCCUAUCAGACAGCAGGACAGAAGCGAACCCUUUGCAAGAUCCCAACCUAACAAGUCAUCGUCAUCCUUCGACCUGGCCAUCGACAACAAGUACUUUGACUAUGACAAUCAAGAGAGGAGCUACGCGGGCUACUAGACUCUAGAUUUUGUUGUUGUUACAUACAUAU